GCAGGUAUGGGGACAUGGUGCCAAAGACAAUUGCUGGAAAGAUCUUUGGCUCCAUCUGCUCCCUGAGUGGCGUCCUGGUGAUCGCUCUGCCCGUCCCUGUCAUAGUCUCCAAC
rfam:Oreochromis niloticus linkage group LG5, whole genome shotgun sequence.